AAGUGAAAUGGAUGUUAGUUCUGACCUUCUGUGUUAUCCAUUCUCUGCCAUGCUGAUAGACAUUAGUGGCAGCUGAGUUGAGAGCUUUAUGGACCACACGAGCCUCUGGGAGCCAACUGGAGGGAGAAUUGAAGGCAAAAGACAAGAUCGGCAUCAAACUGCAGUGAAUGGAGAUAAGCGCGACAGUACCAUGGCAGUGAGCAGCAGCGCCAUGAGCAGCGUCCCUGUGACCAGGAGGAAGAUGAUGAAGAUGCUGAUGAUUUUAUCCAGCGAUCGCUCCAGCCACACGAUCAUCUACACGCACAGUGAGGACAGAGCAGAGGAGGGGAGGUGGCAGAGAAGUCAGUGCUUGGCUAAAACAGAGUCAUCACAAACAUGGAGAAACCUGCGUCUCCCUUGAGUCUAAAAGCUGCUGCUUUGGGCCCUGACGAAGAGAAGGUCAUUGACUGACUGAGCAAACAUCCCUGAUUAUGCACUACACCGUCUGACCUUUCUACUACAAUUACUACAGUUUGGAGGAGGUUUUUUCUGAUGCAAGGUGCUUAAAGCCUCAACUCAGGUUUCUCAAUGCUCCAAAACUGCAGCAACACGUUUGUGUGUUAAUGUCUCCAAACCACGUUAACAAGUUCCUGGAGUCGAUGGUGCAUUAGUUUGCAGUUACUGUAGGUUUGAUGUUGUUUGACUAGUGAAGUGCCAGAUGCAGAAUAAAAUAAAAACCCUACGCUAA